rnacentral:rRNA from 1 species
UACGUAGGGGGCAAGCGUUGUCCGGAUUUAUUGGGCGUAAAGAGCGUGUAGGCGGCCUGACAGGUCUGCUGUGAAAACUCGAGGCUUAACCUCGAGACGUCGAUGGAAACCGUAUGGCUAGAGUCCGGAAGAGGAGAGUGGAAUUCCUGGUGUAGCGGUGAAAUGCGCAGAUAUCAGGAAGAACACCCGUGGCGAAGGCGGCUCUCUGGGACGGUACUGACGCUGAGACGCGAAAGCGUGGGGAGCAAACGGG